rnacentral:lncRNA from 1 species
CCUUCAGCUGAAAGUUUUUAUUAAUUAGUUGUUUCUAAAUUUUCAAUUACAUUAUUCAUUUAUUUAUUUUUCUCUUAAUUUUAUUUUUAUUGGCUUGCCCAAGGUACAACCAUUUUCAUAGAAAAGAAAAAUCUCUUCUUCUCACUUUUUCAUUAAACUAUUUCUCUAUUUCAAUUUGGUCAUUUAAAUUAAACAGAUUUAAGGUCUCUGUGGGAUCGAUACUCACUCACCCUAUCUUCAAGUUCUUAAC